rnacentral:lncRNA from 1 species
AAGUAAGGACUACCCUUAGGAGCUGCCCGCUUUGGGUCUCCUCUCUGCUGAGCUGUUCUGCUACUCAGUAAAACUUCUCCACCUUGCUCACCUUCCAGUUGUCCACGUAACCUCAUUCUUCCUGGACAAAGGACCAGAAUUCGGGACCCACCCAACAGUGGGCAUGAAAAGGGCUGCAACACUUUCCUGGCCAACUCACCAAACUGUGGUGGUGACAUGCUCCCAUUUGCUGGACUGCAGGAGUGAAAAGCAGUGACACUUCUGGGGGCCGAGACAUCAGGAUUUCCCAAGCCAGGGCUGUAACACUAUAGCCUUCCUGCCUUCUGCCUGCAUUGGGCAGCUGCCCCAUGUGACAGGAAGUGGCAGUGGAGCUGGGCCAGCCUGGGAGCCGCCGGCUGGGGUGAGGUGGUGGGACUGAACAAGCUGAAACCUGCUCCCCCUGCUCGCCGAGCCGCGGGUGGAGAGAAUGAGAGAGCACGCCUGACCCACUCCUUGAGGCUCUGCAGUUGCUGGCGUCCCCAAGUUUUUAGGUGCCACCGCAUCCCCCUUUUCCAGACACCAGCACCUGCACCAGAAACUACGUGUGGUACGCCUGCUCCAGCUGCAGCCUGGCAAGGAGCCGGCACCUCUGCCAGCACCCAGAGCUGCCUGCCCCACCACAGCUGGCCGGACCCUGUGUUAGCUCUCUCACACACCCUUCAGUGCUCUGAGCCUGGUUUGCCCUCAUCAGGCGUGGGAUCCGGGUUGGGCGAACUGAGUGCAGCCUGCCGGGCUGAGUGGGUGGAACGAGCACAGUGGGAGUGAGUGAAACUCAAGCAGGGGCGCCACAGGCCACAAUGGUUCCCGGCUGGCAGAGUGACACCUGAAGGAUCCCGUGACAUUUCGAUUAUUUCUGCUCAUAGCAUAAACUCUUAUAUACACGAAUAGUACUUUUGCUUUAAUUUCAAAAGACUUGUAAAUGGACAGUCUUCACUUUUUCAUCAAUCUAAUCAGCAGAAUACUGAGACUACGAAGUUAACAUGAACACCCUCCAGUGGCUGGCUCUGCAGCACAACAGAAACAUUUUUACCCU